AUUGAACGCUGGCGGCAUGCUUUACACAUGCAAGUCGAACGGUAACAGGCCUUCGGGUGCUGACGAGUGGCGAACGGGUGAGUAAUGCAUCGGAACGUACCCAGAGGUGGGGGAUAACGCAGCGAAAGCUGUGCUAAUACCGCAUGUGAUCUGAGGAUGAAAGCGGGGGACCGAGCAGCAAUGUUUGGCCUCGCGCCUUUGGAGCGGCCGAUGUCGGAUUAGCUAGUUGGUGGGGUAAAGGCCUACCAAGGCGACGAUCCGUAGCUGGUCUGAGAGGACGACCAGCCACACUGGGACUGAGACACGGCCCAGACUCCUGCGGGAGGCAGCAGUGGGGAAUUUUGGACAAUGGGCGCAAGCCUGAUCCAGCAAUGCCGCGUGCGGGAAGAAGGCCUUCGGGUUGUAAACCGCUUUUGGCAGGAACGAAACGGUGUCCGCUAAUACCGGGCGCUAAUGACGGUACCUGCAGAAUAAGCACCGGCUAACUACGUG
rnacentral:rRNA from 1 species